rnacentral:lncRNA from 1 species
UUUUCCUCCAUCUGCCUGCCUGUCUCAGCUGGAAAUCUCCAUCAUCAGUCAGUGGACUGAUGGAUCAUGGCACUAAAACUCCUCAGUAGAAGGCAGCUGCAUUAUCUAAGCGGGGGAACAUGUUAAACAGGUACCAUUAUAAAAGGAAUGACUUCAGGUAAAAUAGAACAAUGAAGAGGCUGUCGUUUUGAAGUCAAAUCUGAAUUUCUCACCUGGCUCUAUUACUUUCUUACUGUGUAAUGCUGCUUUUCCCAGUGUGUUCGAGUCAGAGAACCUUUGCAAAGACCAACAGGCUAAAAGAGAAAAUACAAUGUCAGGACACAGCUAGAAUAUGUUUCCAAGCCUCCCCAACACGUGUGACUGUGUAUAAUUGAGUUCUAACCACAGGGCUUGAUGCAGAUGAGCAGGUAACCAUGGAAGUCGUGAGCUGAGGCUGCAGAGUCUAGAGCCAGAGUGUGGAAUAAACUUGGGUCUCAAAUCACCCCUGGAGCAAAGCACCCAUCUAAUCAGGAACUUCUACUUUCAACUUUACAUGCGUGAGAAAUGAACUUCUAUCAUGUUAGGGAAAUCCUUACACGGCGCCCUUGAGAGCUUUCAUACUGCAAGUCAUCCAUUUUCCUCCCCUCAAACCUGGCAUCGGAGUUUAUUGAAACAAAGCAAAAUAAAACAAAUAGACA